rnacentral:rRNA from 1 species
UACAGAGGUCUCAAGCGUUGUUCGGAUUCAUUGGGCGUAAAGGGUGCGUAGGCGGCGCGGUAAGUCGGGGGUGAAAUCUCGGGGCUUAACUCCGAAACUGCAUUCGAUACUGCCGUGCUUGAGGGCAGGAGAGGAGACUGGAAUUUACGGUGUAGCGGUGAAAUGCGUAGAUAUCGGAAGGAAGACCAGUGGCGAAGGCGGCUCUCUGGACAGUUCCUGACGCUGAGGCGCGAAGGUCAGGGGAGCAAACGGG